ACGGGUGAGUAACACGUGGGUAACCUGCCCAAGAGACUGGGAUAACACCUGGAAACAGAUGCUAAUACCGGAUAACAACACUAGACGCAUGUCUAGAGUUUAAAAGAUGGUUCUGCUAUCACUCUUGGAUGGACCUGCGGUGCAUUAGCUAGUUGGUAAGGUAACGGCUUACCAAGGCAAUGAUGCAUAGCCGAGUUGAGAGACUGAUCGGCCACAUUGGGACUGAGACACGGCCCAAACUCCUACGGGAGGCAGCAGUAGGGAAUCUUCCACAAUGGACGCAAGUCUGAUGGAGCAACGCCGCGUGAGUGAAGAAGGGUUUCGGCUCGUAAAGCUCUGUUGGUAGUGAAGAAAGAUAGAGGUAGUAACUGGCCUUUAUUUGACGGUAAUUACCUAGAAAGUCACGGCUAACUACGUGCCAGCAGCCGCGGUAAUACGUAGGUGGCAAGCGUUGUCCGGAUUUAUUGGGCGUAAAGCGAGUGCAGGCGGUUCAAUAAGUCUGAUGUGAAAGCCUUCGGCUCAACCGGAGAAUUGCAUCAGAAACUGUUGAACUCGAGUGCACAAGAGGAGAGUGGAACUCCAUGUGUAGCGGUGGAAUGCGUAGAUAUAUGGAAGAACACCAGUGGCGAAGGCGGCUCUCUGGUCUGCAACUGACGCUGAGGCUCGAAAGCAUGGGUAGCGAACAGGAUUAGAUACCCUGGUAGUCCAUGCCGUAAACGAUGAGUGCUAAGUGUUGGGAGGUUUCCGCCUCUCAGUGCUGCAGCUAACG
rnacentral:rRNA from 1 species